rnacentral:lncRNA from 1 species
GAAUGAUAAGAGAAUAUACCAUCGACAGAAGCCCAGUGAUCUUUCUUCACAUUUUGAAAAAUCUCUUCGUUUCUAUUUCGCAAAUCUCAAAACAAGUUACUAUGAACAUAGUGCCCGUCUCAAUAGUAGAAUGAUGUGUAAACCACUGUUGACAAUCUUUCAUGUAAAAAUCAUUAGGAUAAUUCUAUUGAGUUUGCAAUAAUGAGGAUUGGUGCAUCUUAUUUUUCUCCAAAAGAUGAUCUAUGCCUUAAGGGCACAAGAUAAGAAACAAAAAAUAG